CCAAAAAUUAAAUGUACAAUAUAAUAUAUAUUCAAUACUGAUCAAACAAUUUAAAACGCGUGAUGCCUUCGGCAUAUAAUUUAAAUGCAUCGUAAGCUGUACACGACGUCUUUUAGACAUCGUAUGGCCAUCGCGCCAUCAUCGUAAUCCAUCGUGUAGCCUUCGUGAUCCAUCUUGUAGGCUUCGGCUGAGAUAUGAAGCUCAAAUACCGUCUUCGGUUAACCUUCGUAUGUCCAUCUUUUGCUAUCGUAUAUACUUUCGGCACCCUCGUAUAUACUUCGUUAUUCAUCGUACUUGCUUCGUUCACUUUUUUGUAUUUUAACGAGAUCGGGACCAACUUCGUACGAACUUACAAUUUUCGCAUUCGGGUGUCCAUCGUAUAUAAAAAUCGGGACAGUGUGACGCGGG
rnacentral:lncRNA from 1 species